GAGGCUCUUCUGAGGCUGCUGCCAGUGGUCAAAGCCUCCAACAAAGCUCUACUGAGUAUCUGUAACCUGUCAGAGAGAAGUUGUGAAGCUCUGUCCUCAGGUCUCAGCCCUCUGUCCUCUAAUCUGAUAGAGCUGGACCUGAGUAACAAUAACCUGCAGGAUUCAGGCGUAAAGUUUCUGUCUGACGGACUGAAGAAUCCACACUGGAAACUGGAAACUCUCAGUCUGUCAGGCUGUCUGAUCACAGAGGAAGGCUGUACUUCUCUGGCCUCAGCUCUGAG